rnacentral:rRNA from 1 species
UUGGAGGGCAAGUCUGGUGCCAGCAGCCGCGGUAAUUCCAGCUCCAAUAGCGUAUAUUAAAGUUGUUGCAGUUAAAAAGCUCGUAGUUGAAUUUCGGGAUCAAUAUGUUGGUCGUGCCUUGGUACGUACUAAUUUAUUGGUUUCUUCCUUCUGACGAACCAUGAUGUCAUUAAUUUGGUGUCUUGGGGAAUCAGGACUAUUAUACUUUGAAAAAAUUAGAGUGUUUAAAGCAGGCUCACGCUUGAAUACAUUAGCAUGGAAUAAUGAAAUAGGACGUUUGAUUCUAUUUUGUUGGUUUCUAGGAUCGACGUAAUGAUUAAUAGGGAUAGUUGGGGGCAUUAGUAUUCAAUUGUCAGAGGUGAAAUUCUUGGAUUUAUUGAAGACUAACUACUGCGAAAGCAUUUGCCAAGGAUGUUUUCAUUAAUCAAGAACGAAAGUUAGGGGAUCGAAGACGAUCAGAUACCGUCGUAGUCUUAACCAUAAACUAUGCCGACUAGGGAUCGGAUGAUGUUAAUUUUUUAAUGACUCAUUCGGCGCCUUACGGGAAAC